rnacentral:misc_RNA from 1 species
ACAACCGUUUCAAUCCCUUUUAUAAUAUUCAAGGGCUUGGUUGUGGUGGAUGAGGUGAUGCACCCACUUUUGUUGAGUUACCUCCCCACCGAAAUCUAGAGGCGGUCUGUCCCCACAUGGUUGUGGCGUUGUAAAAGCUCUCCAGCACUUUCCGCUUGCAAUCGUGGGUUCAUGGCUUGCCAUUAGAGAAACCCCCACAUUUCAAA